rnacentral:rRNA from 1 species
CAGCAGUAGCCGCGGUAAUACGAAGGGUGCAAGCGUUACUCGGAAUUACUGGGCGUAAAGCGUGCGUAGGUGGUGGUUUAAGUCCGUUGUGAAAGCCCUGGGCUCAACCUGGGAAUUGCAGUGGAUACUGGAUCACUAGAGUGUGGUAGAGGAUAGUGGAAUUUCCGGUGUAGCAGUGAAAUGCGUAGAGAUCGGAAGGAACAUCUGUGGCGAAGGCGACUAUCUGGGCCAACACUGACACUGAGGCACGAAAGCGUGGGGAGCAAACAGGAUUAGAUACCCCAGUAGUCCCUGUCUCUUAUAC